rnacentral:sRNA from 1 species
UUGUAGUUUCGGUCUCACCACAAUCUAGAGCAUCGCUGGCUGCACGGUUUCAGCUGAAUCCUACAGACACUGCCAGGAAAUUAACCUCAUUCUUUAAAAAAAUAGGGGUGCACUUCGUCUUCGACACUGCCUUCUCAAGGCACUUCAGCCUCCUGGAGAGCCAGCGAGAGUUUGUGCGGCGAUUCCGAGGACAGGCCGACUGCAAACAGGCCCUGCCCCUGCUGGCCUCCGCCUGCCCAGGCUGGAUCUGCUAUGCCGAGAAGACCCACGGCAGCUUCAUCCUCCCCCACAUCAGCACCGCCCGGUCCCCGCAGCAGGUCAUGGGCUCUCUGGUCAAGGACUUCUUCGCCCAGCAGCAGGUAACGGCGUUGGGCCAGCCCCAGGCUCAGGCUGGGGAGCGGCCAGAAGUCACCAUGCUGGCCUCUUGCCUUGAGGCUGCAGAAACAGAGUCCCCGCCGUGGUGUGCCGCCUUCCCGAGCACACCUGCACCCUUGUUCCCUCCUGGUUCA